UAUUUUGAAACGUGCAACUUCCGGAUGACGUCCGUGUUUAUGAUUGAACGUGUUUACGUUGCAUUUCAAAACAAUCACGAUAAUAUCUUCCAGUCAGAGAUUUAUUUACAGCAAAUAAUUACUGUGUUUGUAACUUAGAUGGUCCAGUAGAGUGUGCUGAAGACUCCAGCCCCUUCUCUUCCUUUCCCUUUGACCCAGACCCUUAUAAUGUGGCCCCUCUGCACCUAUCAUCAACUGCUAGCUUUCCUCCUCACCUUCCUCAGCUAUGUCCUGCUUCACUCGUCACGUAAGACUUUUAGUAAUGUGAAAGUUAGCAUCUCAGCACAAUGGACCCCGUCGGGAUUGCAGCAGAAUGGCAGCUCUGUAGCUUUGUCUCCUGGAGUGACAUGGGAGGAUAACAAACUGUUUGCUGAUGUGGGGGAGGCUACUUUGUUUUUGGGUGCUCUGGACUCAAUCUUUCUCUUCUCUUAUGCUGUGGUAAGUUAA